rnacentral:lncRNA from 1 species
GAUCCAACGGUCCAAAUUAAGGAGCCGUUGAAAUCGAAUGGACCGUGGGAAGCCACGUGGCUUCCCAACGGUAACUGAGACCACUGCAAAAGUGACUGCUUUUCUGAAAAGUUGUCGGGCUACGCGCCCCCACGCGGGAGUGGGGUGCACGCGCUUGACAGAAAAAAAUAAAAAAAGGGUUUGGAGCUUGGGCUCACAGGCUGUCAAAAAUUGACAGGCCUUCUGCUCAGUCCUUCUCCACCAGCUCGGGCUCUUCAAGGCUAGAGUUGAUUCACAGGGCCUCGGGCCCUUUCCUCUCCCCUGUCCCCCAGCCUACAUGCAUGGCUGGAGCUGCUCUCAUAGUGACACAUAAGCCCAUUCAUCAACUCUUGAAGCUUGUAAGUAAAGUAUAAACCAUCCUAUUUGGCUUUUUACCAAAAUGAACUUCGUAAUCUUAAAACUUGAUUAACCAGAAAAGCUUUUUAUUUAUGCUCAAUGUAUGUUACUAUGUAUAGAUAUAGGGGUUUUUUUUUCUUUCAAACAACUAAUUUCACUAAAAUUAAAACACAUUAAUACAAAGUGAGGCAAAUUCAAAAAUAAUUCACAAGACUAAAGUAAAAGUGCAGCCCAUUACAAAAAAAAAAAAUAAUAAUAAAACAAUCCUAAAAAAUGAGCCCAUAACAAUGCUUAAGCUGACAUCUCUAGAUCUGGAAACGAGAGCCAGUGUCCUCCACCAAAAUAGUAGCACCACCAUCACCAAGCCUCCGCCACCGGAAAGAAGAACCAACUAAUCGAAAGGAUGAACAGAAAAUGGGGGUAGGUAAGCCACCCACCCUAAAAGCAAUCCCAUAAUCCUACAAAAUAGUGCAAGUUUCACUUUAGAGGCCACCAAAACCCAAAGCACGCGUCCAAUUGAAGUCCAAAGAGGAAGAACUCGAGAAGACGAAUAGCCGAAAUAGGUGGGGCAGUAACUCGUGGCUAGGAACAACAAUUUGGAAAGAAAAAUGCUUGAAGCUUUAAUCCGGGACAAGGUCUUCCAUCAAUUGAGACAAAGCCCUUGUAAAUUGAAAAAAGUUCAAGGAAAAUGAGAGAAGCUCAAAGAAAAACUACCAAAAAUCAAGGGCCACAGAUAAAAAAAAAAAAGAAAAAGAAAGAGAUGGAGAAUAGGGAAGAAGGAGAAGGGGAUUAAGGAAGAGGGAGAUGAGGUUGCCACUGACCCCACUCGAAAGGAGAGGUCGACUGCUGAAGGUAAGAUUGGGUUUGGGGGUUCUUUACUUUGUGUGAGAGAGAGCGGCACUGUGGUAUCAACAAACUUCUGUGCAUAUAGGGUCUCUAUGUUGACAAAUUGUUUAUCUCAACGACAUAUAUCAUACCUGAAAAUAUUAAUUAACAUGAUAUGUCAUACUUUGCAUGUCUGUUUGCAUGUCUGUUAAUAUUUUAGAGAAAACGAUAUUUUUGUGUAUAAUAUAUGCUCUGAGCCAGACGUGUAUAUAGUUGUUGAUGAGUUUCACGUGCUUUAAACCUAGUAAGUAAUUGUUCUAUAUGUUAAGUAGCAAAUCACAUAAAGAAAAACAACCACCCAUGCGUGCAUGUUAUCUAUAGCUACAGUCAAAUUGUUGACACUCGCUUUUGCUUUAUUUACACCACUGCUAUCAUAUAUGUGGCUGGGUUGGAGGGUAAUUACCAAACCCAGCUAUGCAGAAAUCAAAUAGCAGGUCUCCGACACCCUGUCAUUCUCUUUUUUAGAACAUACGCAGAGGGUUCCAUGUCUAAUGUCUUUGUGGGUUUUCAGAAGAUAUUCAAGAUGUAGGGAUUCACGGAUCCCUAUAUCUUAAAUUUGUAUAAUAUGCUCAUGGGUGUGCUCUGUUUGUUUUCAUGUACAAAUUGGUGAAUGUUGAACAAAAUGCCUGCAUGUUCGAUCUGUGAUAUGGGCUUGAACAAAAGUACCUCUGAGCUGCUUGGAUCCUCCACCCCCAAACUUAGAAUGAAAGGUUAGCAAUAGCUUUCUUUUUACUUACUUUCAAAAUUAUUUUAUAAGUAACUUUUGUAUCUUUGAAUCGCUUGAUUCAUCGUUGCAAUUUUAUAUAUUACAUAAUCGCAAGGCUUUUGAUAUCAUUAACUGUUGGUUUUGGUACUGGCAAUGGAAACCUCAUCAGAUUUUGUCUGCAUUGAUUUGGGUAUUUUUACAGGAACAAAUAUUUAUUUUUUGUUGUAUUUAGAUCAGAAUUAUUAAUUUAUUUAUGACAUUCAAACUCUCUGAGAUUUCGAUCUAUAUUUGGUGGUUUUGUGAUUCAUGGUUGUAUUCCAUUUUUUGGAUUGUUGGCAUGUGAAUCCUAAGUUUAGCAAGCAGUACAAUAUAGAUUAGGCAUUAAAACAGAUGCAACUACAUUCAUGUUUUUUUUUUUACCUACUGUUGCCUAUAUUUUUUUUGUUCUUUUGAGAAGUGCACAGAAAAUGUAGUAUUAACGAAAAGACGUAUGAAUAUGAUAAUUGUAUAACAAAGGUGUGCAUAAUGGAUAGUACAGACAUUGCAUAGCUUUAACAUGUGUUUGCACUUUCAUGAUGUGGUUUAGAUUUCUGUUCCAUAUUAAUUUCGUAUUUCAUAUCAUAUUAUGCUUAAAGAAUGUUGUGUUAAUUAAAAUAGGAGAAAACAUUUAGAGCUCUAGCGGUUCUGAUGAUAUGGUGUUCUGGAUGUUCCAGUGGAUGUUGAGGAGUUUUAAGUAAAAGAAAAGCCUUAUGCAGAAGAGUUAGAAUAUAAUUGCUAUAUAUGGAAGAGUUGGAAUAUAAUUACUAGGACAGAAUUACAAACAAUUUUGUAGUGCACCUGGAAGACGAGUUUUCAUUCCUUUUUGGCUGUUCGUUAUUGGUAUAUAAAUUUUAACUACUAUUUUUCCCCUUACCCAAUAUAUUAUGUUCAAUUCUGGCAUUCCCCUCAAAACAUUGUUUCUGUGUCAUUUUUCUCUUUUUUCUGUGUUCAGCUCACACACCUUACGUAUAUAUUGGAGACUAUGAUACAGUCAGAGAAUCGCAACCUACAUUGCUUGCUUCCUCAGGUGCGUACUUCCAUUUUAAGAGUAAAAUCUGUUUGGGUUAAAACUUGAACUUUGGGCUCAAGAAGGAGUUGGCCCAAAAGAAAGAAGUCUAGAAGGAGAAAAGCCCGAAGCCCAGCCAAAGCCCAGAAAGCAGGAGAGGCCCUUUUCUGACUAGGUGCAGACCAUUUGAACCACUUACUCACCUAUUUAGAGGUCAAGUGGUAUAGACCAGCCAGCUAAUCAGCCUAAAAGCAUUUUACAGUGGCAAUACAAGUAAAAAGCUGAUGAGUCAUUGCCCUUCAAGUUGCAUUCGGGCAAGAUUACUACUACAGGAGGCCAAGCCAAAAUGUCUAUAAAAGAAGAAAGAGAAAACAGAGAUAAGGACACUCAAUCAAACAAACAAAUACAAGCACAAACUCUACUCAAACCAAAUUUGCUUUCAACGAAGUUGUAGUCAGCCCAAGCCUUCAUCCAUUUUGGGAUCAACCCUCACCCAAAGUCUUUGUAAUAGCUCUGCUACCUUGUCUAAAACUUGUUGUAGUAUCGAUUUCCUUCGGUAAACCCAUCUCCCUACCCCUCUUUCUAAAGUUCUCAAACCCCUUGAUAAACCACAAAGAUAAGAAGUUGCAAGACGAUCAACCUUGCCCAACCCUCUUUGUUUUUGUCUUUUCAUUCAGUAGUCUAGCAAUAUGUUGUAUACUUCCAGUUGUAUCCAAGUUAUUUAUGGCAAGUUGAUGAUUAAAAAGGCUCAUCAGUUCUUGAAUCCGAUUUAAAUAUGUCUUCACAUAUUAAAUCAGAUCUAAGUUCUAAGCCUUCGGGCAUGUAACAUUGAUCAUUUAAAAGUCCUUGGUCUCAAGGCAUAAAAAGAACCUUAUGUGGACUUAACCCAUCCACGACAGUCUUUGAUAAACAAGAAGUCCGAAGUUACUUGGGGCGCAAGUAAUCGACCUAUCCCUUAGUGUUAUUUCUAUUAUAUUAUGAUUAUCGAAGAGCGUUUGAGCAUAGAAGGAAUUCUGAUGGGAAGCCUCAAAGCCUACACCUAAGGCCUUACAAAGGCAAUUAUUUGGAUUCUUUCUGCUUGUCGGGCUCGGGUAAUCAGAAGUAUAAUAGUCAUAAUACUUAUGUAAUCAAUGCAAGAAAACAUUAUAUAUUCAAGUACUGGGUUAGUUCCUGAUUGAAAGCCUCAAGGCCUACACCUAAGGCCCCACAAAGGAACCUUUCAUAACUAAAACAGCCUCUCGGGUAUAUAUACAACUAAAACUCAACAUCCGUUUUACAUCUGCCAUGCUGAAGAUGGCAGUGGCACGCUUGAGCACUUAAAAGUUAAUCUUGAUUGUGAGCCUCAAAGCCUAUACCUAAGGCCCCACAAAAGCACCUUUCAAAGUUAACUUUGUCCUUCUCUUUCAACCUUGCCCGACAAGCCCGCCAGUGAAGCAGAAGCCCGACAAAAAGCAUCAACCGGCGCCAACCUCUGGGGGAGCUGUGUGCUCGUCAGCUAGGAAACAUCCCCAACGGAAAUUCUAGCCACGAACAUAGUUUUGGCACGCCCGGUGGGAUUCACUUGAUCAAAAGAAAUAUGUCAAAACGACCAGAAGAUUUGCAAACUGCUUUGUUACAAAUGCUGCAAAGACUGGAGAACACCUCCGCAGGUUUCAGACGGGAAGCCGACCUGGUUAUAAGACCGACUAUUCCUAUAUCUUUACCUCAACUUGGGGAAAAAGAUGAUAGGGAAAAAGAGAGACUUAAAACCAACCAGCCAAACGAAGCAGUGAUGAACAAACAUGCGGAUCCCUUCUCAGAGGCCCCAAUAAAUAUGAUCAGUAUGGCAUGGGCUGAGAAAGGGAAAGAAAAGGUCACAAAGGAAGAAGAAAGAAGAUUGGUUGACAACUCCACAAAAGGGGUGAUCAAAUUGCCCGAACAUCCAAGAGCAGCCAUAAUCAAAAGGAUGGUUAUGUGCAGUAAAUGCCAAUGCGAGUGUGAGCUCGAAAUACCACCUGCAAGAGUCCUCAUGGAUCAUGAAUUGAUCAGGAGGAAUGAAGAAAAAAAAAAGGCCCAUGAGAAAGUUAGGCGGACUACAGGAAGGGAUACCUCCCGAAGUGUUUUUCAGCGGUUAGGAGGCGAUUCCUAACCUAGAGCUUUAUCAGAGAUAUUUCGCAAUCAUGAAGUUUCUGAGGAGGCAGAAGAUAAAGAUGCCAAAAAGCCAAAAGAGAGAGGUGUAGAGCAUUCUUACUAGGGCCAUAUGGGAAGAGAAGUCAAGAGGAAUGAUAAGAUAACAAAUCCUGUCAAAAAAGAUAACCUUGCCCGCCUCGGGCGAAAAUGGUACGUGGUUUAGAAAAAUGGACAGCCUGUUAAACAAAUGGGAGCCUUCAUGGUCAGAAAGGUCUAAAGGCAACACAAAGCCUACAUGAACUCCUUAAAAAUUCCUGCGACGUUUGAAGCAUCCAAGAAUCAAAAGUUGGAGAAAACGUCAUCUGGGGGGAGUAGUCAGUUCCGCUGGAGAAGUAAAAAAGAGGUGGAAAAGGCUAAUAGCAAGACAGAAGGUGAGGGAAACCAUGUGCCGCAAAGCCUACACCCUGGGAAAUAUAGGAUCUUGAGGAAAGCUCAAGAAGAUAUAAUCAUGGUACUAACUCCCGGAUGGAAGACAGAGCCUAUUUGUUUUGGAACUGUUUCGCCUGAAAGAAAACCACCUUCUCUAUCAUUAGUGGAUCCUUUCGAUAAAGUUCCAAAGCAAACACCGUAUUCGGGCAUGAAUCAACAUGAGGGGGCACCAGAACCACUACUUCCAGCAGAUGCGAUGGCUUGGUUAGAUGAGUUCAUGGACCAGAUCGGGAGCAAGAAAGAAGAACUGCCAGAGCCUAGCAAUUUUCAUAUCAACAUGGCGUAUGUGUUAUCCGCCAUGUUUGGUGCCAAACCUAAUCAGCCCUCCACUAUGGAAGGUGACUAUGUGACAACUGAGCCAAUGAUGGCCCAUGUUAGUGUUGAGGUAGCUGAAGAGGGAGAGUCGGGAAGAGCUGAAUCAUCCGAAGCAUCCAAUGAUGGUCCUUUAAGGAUCUACAUAGAUAAGAUGGUGUUCAACCGCCCAAACAUUUCGAUUGCCAAUCAUCUUAAGCCAAUAUACGUUAUAGCCCAUUUGGAAGGGAUGCCUUUCAAAAGAAUUUUAAUUGAUGGAAGAUCGGCGGUUAACGUACUACCAGCCAAACAAAUGAAAAAGUUGGGGAGAGGCACAAAAGAUCUUAUUCCUACAGACCUCACGGUUUCAAGCUUCUCGGGCGCUAUCACCAAGACUCAUGGGAUAUUGCCUUUAGAAGUGGAUUUGGGGUCUAAACAGAUCAUGCUGGCAUUCUUUGUGGUGGAUUGCACUUCCACCUAUGGAGCCUUACUUGGAAGAGAUUGGAUCCAUCAAACUCUUGCCAUACCCUCCACUCUACAUCCACAAGUGGCUGUUUAUCAUGAGGCAGGCACAGAGGAACUAGGUUUUUAGGAGAUGAUAGAGGCCGAAUCACGGCCAUUUCUCCCUACAACCAGUGUUGCAGAAGCAAGUUUCUACAAUCCCAACGUAGGAAUUUUGAAGUGUUCAGAAGCAGAUGAAAACGGCCGCCCUACCAAGGUGACGACCCAAAAGCUUCUAGAACAAGGAAUGCUCCUUACUAGAGAGGAGUGGGAUAGACCUUGUAUUAUCCCAACGCCCCUACACCAUCAAUGACAAAACAAAAAAGGAAUGAUCAGGUAAUGGCAGUCAGAUCCCUGAUUAAAAGGCUGUUGGUGUAUGGGAAAGGAAUAAGGCAAGAAAGGGAGCUCUUAGACAAAGAAGAGCAGGAAUGGCAGGUAGGAGCUUCGACCAGCCAGGAUGAAAGCAGGGAGGAAUCUUGUAGAUAAGAAUUGGAAAGGGUCAUACAAAUGGUCGAGUGCAUAUAUGGCCUAGAUGGGCCAGAUGACUUGCCCGAGAGCCUAGAGUUAGUCAAAUUUUUUUGUGCUGAACCUGAUAAGCCACCACUAGAGGUUCAGGAUCCUUUGGAAGUUAUUGAUCUAGGGACAGAGGAAGAUCCAAGACCAAUACAAAUUAGUGGUUUAUUGGAGAUUGAUGAUCGGGCAAAGAUUAUCUCUCUUUUGCAAGAAUUUAAAGAUUGUUUUGCUUAGCAUUAUACUGAGAUGUCAGGUUUAGAAUCAACCUUGGUAGAACACAUAAUGCCCAUCAAGGAGGGAUAUAAACUUGUUAAGCAAGCACCGCGAAUGAUGUUAAAGGAGAUAGAAGAGAAGGUCAAAGAAGAGAUUGAGAGGCUAGUAAAAGCUGGAUUCAUUAGACCAGCCAAAUAUGUAGAGUGGUUAGCCAACAUUGUACCCGUUUUAAAGGCCAUAACAAAAGCAGUACAAUGUUGCGUUGAUUACAAAAAUAUCAAUGGCGCUACACCAAAAGAUGAGUAUCUCAUGCCCAUGGCAGAUCUAUCCAUAGAUGCAGUAGUAAAACACAAAGUCUUAUCUUUUAUGGAUGGAAAUGCCGGGUAUAAUCAGAUAAAGAUGGCCCAGGAAGAUAUACAUAAAACAGCUUUUAGGUGUCCCGGGCAUGUGGGGGCAUAUGAAUAUCUGGUCAUGCCAUUCAGGCUCAAGAAUGCUGGUGCAACCUACCAAAGGGCAAUGAAUGCCAUCUUUCAUGAUCUGAUUGGCCAUAACAUAGAGGUGUAUAUUGAUGACAUCGUGGUGAAAUCCAAGACAUAAGAGCAGCAUCUGAUAGACCUCAAGCAAGCAUUGACAAGAAUGAGGAUCCACAAAUUGAAGAUGAAUCCAAAGAAGCGUGCGUUUGGAGUAAGAGCAGGCAACUUCUUGGGAUUCCUGGUUCAUCAAAAAGGUGUAGAAGUGGACAAGAACAAAUCGCGGGCAAUAAUGGAGUCGCCUUCACCUACCAACAAAGUGCAACUCUAGAGGUUGCUAGGCAAAAUUAAUUUCUUGAGAAUAUUCAUUGCCAAUUUAGCAGGCAAGAUCUAGCCGCUGACUCAUUUGCUAAGACUAAAGGAUAAAGAGAAUUUCGAAUGUGGACUACCACACCAAAGGGCUUUCGAUAGUAUCAAAGCUUAUUUGACUUCUCCACCAGUGUUGGUACCACCUCAAAGGGGAAAACCCUUAAAGCUAUAUAUCUCUGCUUCAGAGAAAUCAAUCGGGAGUUUGCUAGCUCAAAACAAUGAAGGCGGGAAAGAGCAGGCAGUGUACUACCUCAGUAGAAUUCUGACCAAGGUAGAAACAAGAUAUUCUCCAGUGGAAAGAUUGUGCCUAGCUUUGUAUUUUACUGCCAGUAAGCUGAGGCAUUACAUGUUACCUUGUCACGUGCAUAUCAUUGCCAAGACAGAUGUGAUAAAGUACAUGUUAUCAAAACCAAUGCUAACAGAAAGGAUUGGGAAGUGGAUUCUAGCAUUAUCAGAGUUCAGCUUUCAAUAUGUACCCCAAAGGGCAGUCAAAGGCCAAGCAAUUGCUGACUUCUUGACGAAGCAUCAAGAGUCUCCAGAUGAGAUAAUCAAUAUCCCGGGAACCCUGGAAGUUACUAGUGUUUGGAUCCCGCCAAGCAAAGAUAUUUCGGGCAAAGAGGAGUGGAUCCAACAAGAGAUAAGAAGAGUGACUGGCUGAUAGAAACAUAUUUAUGCGACUGAGUUAGCUUGUUCUCAUGCAUUUAUGUUGUUAUUUCUUAGUUAAUUAUGUAUUUUAAGCUAUUUUCGUGUGUUUGUAGGUCCAAAGGGUUAAUGUGGCAAAGAAGUGCAUUUUGGAGCAUUUUGGAGCAUUUUUGGGCAUGGAAUGGAUAACUUAUGCUUGGAGCAAAAGGAAUGGAUGAAAUUUGAAGUUUGUGCAUCAUCCUCUCCCUAUAAAUAACCAUUUUAGCACACUCAUUUUACACAACACAUUCACUUACCACUACUUCCACUCAUUUCACCCAACACAUCCACUCCUUUCAACCACCCAACACAUUUACCUACCACUACAUCCACUCAUUACCACCACCCACUACAUCAUCUUCCUAGUCUAUAAAUACAUUCAUCCACCCUUCAUCAAAGAGAGAUCAAUCAAAACACAUCCAUUCAUCUUCACAUCCAUUCCUUCAUACAAACAAACCUUUAAACACUUACCAACAUCUUGUGUCGUAGCAAAAAAAGGGAAGGAAAGUGCUUAAAUGUGCUUUCUAUCCAACUUAGAUCGUUGGAGCGUUUAGGUGUUUUCUUUCUUUUGUUUCCAAUGUUUAAAUUCAUUUUACUUUGUUUUGUUGUGAAGAUGAGUGGUUAAACCCCUCUUGGCUAUGGGUGAUUUCAAAGCCAUGAUUAUGUGUGUAAUAUGAUUUGAUAAAUUCCAGUUAUGAACUCUUGAAUCGUAAAUGCAAUUGGCUUAACUAUUUGAUUGAUAACUUAUUUGUAUUUGUUGAUUAAGGGUCG